GCCGUCCUCGUCUCCUCCGCCGCCUCCAUCCUGCAGUGUUGCGGGUUCGUCGACGGCCCCGAGCUGGAGGUCAAGCUGCUGGCCGCCGCGGCCGGGCUGCAGCUGCUGGCCUCGUCAACUCCCCGCGCCGUCCACAUCCCCGCGCACGUCCCCGCGUGCCUCGCCGCCGCAUCGGAGCGCGCCACCUCUCCUCUGCUCCAGGCCAGCCGCCGCCUCGAUCUGGAUCGAAG
rnacentral:lncRNA from 1 species